rnacentral:rRNA from 1 species
UACGUAGGGUGCGAGCGUUAAUCGGAAUUACUGGGCGUAAAGCGUGCGCAGGCGGUUUUGUAAGCCAGAUGUGAAAUCCCCGGGCUUAACCUGGGAAUGGCAUUUGGGACUGCAAGGCUGGAGUGGGGCAGAGGAGACUGGAAUUCCCGGUGUAGCAGUGAAAUGCGUAGAUAUCGGGAGGAAUACCGAUGGCGAAGGCAGGUCUCUGGGCUGACACUGACGCUCAUGCACGAAAGCGUGGGGAGCAAACAGG